GGGCUCAUGGAUUCAAAGCUUCAGUCUAUAAUGGGCUGACUCUAUUUCUCUGGACCUAGAGUGAAUCAGAAUAUCUGGAUGGAAGUGCACUGUGGGGAAAAUCUGCUUACCUAAUGACGGCCAGGAAGCAUAGGGUGAGCAGGCAAAGCCAGGAACAAAAUAUAUAAUUCCUAGAGUAUGCCCCUAGUGACACACUUACUUUAAUCAGGCUCCAUGUGUCUAUGGUUACCAUCCAGUACAGUAUACUCUUAAAUUAUCAAACCAUCAACUGCAUUAAUGCACUGAUUAGGUUAUAGUUUUUAUAAUCUAACAAUUUUACCUCUUAGUAUUUCUGUAUUAACAGAGGAUUCUUUGGAGCACAAACUAUAUCUAAACCAUAAUACUCCUUUUCUAACCCUCCUAAUGCUAAUUUGCAUCAUAAUAAGGCAAAACAUUUUGCCCACCUUCAAGAGUCCCCACAGUAAGAAUACUUCCAGGAUUGCCCAAAAGUUUAGGUUCAAAGCAUAUUUGGAGACUGGAGGUGAAUUCUUGGCCAUGAGGCCUUUUAAAAAUCAAAAGCAAAAUAUACACAUCCAAUAUAUAAUGUCACAGUGUACAAAAUCCCACUCCAAAAGACAUGGAUAUAGACAUAGAAAAAAGGAAUGUGAUCAAAAUAAGACCUAAAUCCAGUGGGGGAAAACAUUAGGUCUAGUAGCACCAAAUCUAGCAUCUGGGGUACAUUGGCAAUGAAACGUGCUCUCGAAAGGACUCAGGUACCCCAUCCCUGUGACUUUGUUUGUUGCAGCUUAUAUGCCUCUCCCUUAGGCUGGCUUUGUCUGCAGCCAAUAGUUUUCAUUGGUACAUAUUCCAUGUGCCACGCUAAAUCUGGAACAACUCCACUGCAGCACUGUCUCCCUUCUCACACUUUCAUCUGUCAUACUUGCAAGAUUUUCACCCUGGUAUGUUUUUCCUGACCUUCAGGGUUUCUUUGGAAAUCUUGAUGGAAGCUCUAGGGACCUUUAACUCCAGCAUCCUGCAUUCCUUCAGAAAAGGAAGCCUAUCGGUGAGGCCAAGGUCUGUUUCCCAGCUUGUGCAGCAGUAGCUAUGUGUUCUUGGACCACAGCUGCAAAGGACUUUUGAAUGCCUGGGCAGUUGAGCAUGUUGAAACGAAUCCUGAGAUUCAUUUCAGCAUCCCUAUGCAGUACAGUGCUCCAAAGGUCUUUUUUAUUUUUAUUUUUUCUCAUUUGUGAAGUAGUCAAUAUAUUUAUUUUUUGAACAAUUCUCAUGUUUAAAGGUAUUUCCACAUAAAAUUACAGUAUAUGUUUUCAGCAUACACAAACUAUGAAACACAUAUACAACAGAUAGAUUGAUAUAGAAAAUGUGGCAUAUAUACACAAUGGAGUAUUACUGGGCUCUUAAGAUGAAUUUAUGAUAUUUGCCAGUAAAUGGAUGGAUGUGGAAAUCAUCAAGCUAAGAGAAAUAAGACAGUCCCACAAAACCAAAGUCAAAUAUAUUUGCUAAUAGGUGGAAUAUAAUCCACAAUAAAUAGGGGAUAGAAAUUCAGUAGAUUAGAAAAAGAGAAAUUAAGGGAAGGUUAGGAAAAAGAAAGUGGAAUGAAUCUGACAAUUUUUUUUUGAGAGAGAGAGAGAAUUUUAAUAUUUUUAUUUUUAAGUUUUCAGUGGACACAACAUCUUUGUUUGUAUGUGGUGCUGAGGAUCAAACCCGGGCUGCACGCAUGCCAGGGAGCACGCUACCAC
rnacentral:lncRNA from 1 species